GGUAGCAGAGACUUGGCUGAGUGUAGCAAGGAGAUGAAAAGAGAGGAGGGGGGAGAGGAGACGAGAGGAGACAUCGGGGAUAGUGAACCUCAGGGAAGUGUUGAGCAGGGUUGGUGGCACGACAUGGGACGAGGGAGAGAAGUAAGAGGUUACAGGGUGGACAAACAGCAGAGGUUAUAGAGGUCAGGGGUCAGGAACGGGACAGGGUUCCAACAUCAAACGUUGAACAACAAGUGGAGACAUGAUAAGGCUCAGGAUGGACGAUACGGUAACAGGACUCAGAGGAGCUCCAAAAUUAUACACGUUACAGAUGAAGAGGUAACAGGGGGGCAGGUAAAUUGGGCUUAGGGGUUUCACUGUGGGCAGACACGUUUUCCAUCCCGUUUGGGGACGGAUGGAAGUGGUAACAGGGUUCAGGAGGGACAUUUCCAAGAUGGAGGGAAAAAAUUACAGCCGGUUUCUGGAAGGACAUUUUAUGGACAAACCAAAAAAAAAAAUAGUUUCUAAAAUGAUAUUUGAAAAUCGUGGUAAUGGACAGAGUUACUAGAAUGACAUUUUAGGAUUCUGAUAAGGGACAGUAGAAGUAAGAGGGCUUUCCUUUGGCUUCGUGUGGACAUUUCAUGCUCCCUCUUAUGAACGAAACGAGUACCCUGUAAUUUAUCAAUACAAACACUCCUGUUUUAAAUGGGGUUAAUCAAAACACUAAUCUCUCUGGUAUCUGAAAGUGAUCAUUUGUUUGUCCCUAUAGCCACUGGCUGAUUUUUUUUCUUGCUGUGAAACGUGUUGUGCAAUCAUCAUAUUAAUUCCCAUACUACGCUUGCAGUUCACUUUUUUUGCUUAGCGAUCUGGAGGUCGGCCUCUGACCAUGUGCUGCUUGCUGCUGGUUCAAAUGGCUCUCACUGUGUUGGCUUGUAGACUAUCAGCCAUUUGACACAUAUAAUGCAUUGUGUGUUAAACAGUUUAUUGUGUAUAGCAGUGGUUUUCAACCUGUGGGCCGGGGCCCACUGGUGGGCCCUGAAGGUAUUCCAAGUGGGCCUUGAAAUAAUUUUCUAAAAAUUAUAAUCACAUUUUGGUGUGUUGCUGUUAAUUUAUUUGAGUUUUAUUCGUAAUUGGGUCAGAGGUGGGCCCCGAACAUUUCUGACAAUUUCGAGUGGGCCCCAAGUUGGAAAAGGCUGGGAACCCCUUGGUGUAUAGUGUAUGUCUAUGCUCUCAGCUUCUUGAGUUAGCCCCUACCUAACCCAUGCCUUUUCAGUUUGCUCAACCCUGUUCAAAUUGUGUUUGGGUUGGCUCAACUCUUUGCGUUCAAGUUCAAGCUCAAAUCUAUGCAAUUUGAGUUACAGUAGCUCUACCAUUUUCAGUUGAGUUAGCUCAAGUCUAUGUGUUUGAGUUAGCUCAACCCUAUCUGUCUGAGUGCGCUCACCCUGUCCUCAACUGAACUAAACACUAAGGUGCCUCCUGAUUUUCCUGUGCAAGACGAGAGCGUUGCUCUAUGAAACUGUGUUGGAGCUGCCGUGUGCAGAGACAAACUCAUGGACCUACAGAAUAGAUCAAAACCUGCACAACUUGGCAUUGCACAUUGUCCCCCUAAUGCAGGGGUGGGGAACCUAUGUAAUGAGGGCCGUUUGCGGCCCUUGAGCUUGUCUUAUCCGGCCCCGAUAUAGUUUUAAUGUAUACAGCUUCACAUGAAAUAUGACUUAUUUUGUAAAGGAAUCUUAGAAAUUACGUUCGCAAUACACUGAAAGUUAUAUUUCAGGGGACCUAGAGAAGGUAGAGUGUGUUUUAAAGGUCAUCAAAAAUCAAUCAAAAUGCCUACAGUAUGCUAUCUGCAUUUAGACAGAUGGUCCCAGUCUAAAUUGUGAUUAGAUUGAUAAGGUUAACAGAAACAAUAUGAAAUGGAAAAGGCACACACACUCUCACUCUCCCUGCUCACUGUGUUACGUUUGCAAUGAUGAUGAUGAUGACGGUGAUGACGGUGAUGAAGAUGCGUUGUUCAUGCGUGAAGCUUUAUGACUUGUUUCCUGUAAAUAGUUGUAUGAUGUAUAAACUACAGUGUGUGUAUAAAAUAAUUAAAAAGAGUUAACUGUGUUCAUUCCUGUCACCCUCCAUAGCAGUGUGUCUAUGGGACUGAUGAUUAUACUGGUACUAAUAUUGUAUAUUUGGACUCAUUCACACCAUGAAUAAACUCUAUUUUCCUCCUA